ensembl:lncRNA
AAGAUUGAGUUCAAUUGCCAAAGGCCAAUGACGUAAUCAACUGUGCCUAUGUAGGGGGGUCUCCAUUAAAACCCAAAGGGAUGGGCUUCAGAGAGCUUCUGGGUUGGUAAACACCCAGGGAGAUUUGGGGAGAGUGACAUGCCCAGAGAGGGUCUGGGAUCUCCACAUCCUUGCCCCACGUAUUUUACUCUAUGCAUCUCUUCCAUCUGGCUGCUAAGUAAAAUGUUUUCCUGAGUUCUGUGAGCCACUCUAUCAAAAUAAUCAAACACAAUGAGGGGGCUGUGGGAACAUCUGCUCUGUGGCUGGUUGGUCAGAAGCACAGGUGACAACCUGAACUUACAAUUGGCAUCUAAAAUGGAAGGCAAAGGGUAAUCCUGUGGGACUGAACUCUUAACCUGUGGGAUCUGAUUCUAUCCCCAGGUAGUGUCAAAAUUGAGUAAAAAAUUAAACUUCUUAGCCAGUAAGGGAUAUAAAGUGUCUAAAGGGAGGGCACAAAUAUCUAAAGAGACUGUAAAGUACUUGGGGUUCAUCAUUUCAAAGGGACAACAGGGCCUUCCCCUAGAGGGGAAAAUGGUAAUACGUCAACUUGAUUCACCAAAAAUUUGUAGGCAGCUCUGAGGAUUCUUGGGGAUGGCUGGCAUUUGCAGCAUUUAGAUCCCUAACUUUGGAUUAAUUGCUAAGCCUCUCUAGGAUAAACUACCAGGGCCAGAAAUAGACCCCUUUGUAUGGGAUAAGCUAUGUCACCAAACUUUCAAUAAGCUUAAAACUUGCUAAUGGAAGCACCUACACUGGCCUUACCAGACCUGAACAAAACAUUUGACCUAUGUGUCUGUGACAGACAGGGAGUAGCUACAGGAGUGCUAACCCAAAUGCUGAGAACCCCUAAAAGCGUGGUAGCCUAUUAUUGUGGCAAAAUGAUGACUCCCAUGCUUGAGAACUGUAGCUGCCACCUGCCUAUUAAUCAACAAUGCAGAAAAAGUGAUGAUGGGGCAAACUUUGACUGAUGUGGAACCCCCAUCAAGUCUUUAGCCUACUAGUGUUGAUGAAAAUAAUCCAUAACCAAUCUAUAAAUGAAAAUUUGGGUGAGUUUAUUCUGAGCUUAAAUCUGAGGAUUAUAACCCAGGAGAGUCUUUCCACAAAGGAACAGAGCACGCCAAAGAAGUGGGGGUAUACAGGAUGGUUAUAUACCCUCAAAGAGUACGUUUCACAUAUGAUUGAAAUGUCCUUUUUACAAUAGUCACAAGAUUGCUCUCUCAGCACAGCGACUGAUGGAAGCAGCAGAUAGGCCUGCUGUCUCAGUGAACCCCGCAGGGUGUCUGGUCCAUUGCCUCGAGCUGGGCAGUCACAGAUUAGCGCUGCAAUCAGUUCCCAGCCUAAAGAAAGAUGCUUAAUCUUUAAGGAGUUGCCAACAUUGGGAGGGGGAGGGAAGAUGCGCCUUUAUCUCAAAAUGUCUAAGCAGAUAUACAAUGCAUGCUCAAUGGCCACAGUCAGGCCCCUUUGGAAAAACAAAGUCAGGCCGAACAAGGUUUAUACCAAAUGGCUUCCUCAUAUACUCCAAUAUAUCCUAUUGCUUGCCAUUUUUAUUUGUCAGCAGCUACAGAGGAGAUUCUGAAAAGCGAUUAAACUUUGCAGUCCAGGGCAUGCUGAGAGUGAAUCUCCAACUUAGAAUGAGAGGAGGCCUCGCUGGCACGGUUCUAUGGCUGUUAAAGCCAGCCUUUUCAAAUUUUUAAAUCUUUGCUUAGCAGCUAGGACAGCUAUAUACACUAUC